GACGAACGCUGGCGGCGUGCUUAACACAUGCAAGUCGAACGGACAGGCCCUGCUUUUGUGGGGUGCUCGAGUGGCGAACGGGUGAGUAACACGUGAGUAACCUGCCCUUGACUUUGGGAUAACUUCAGGAAACUGGGGCUAAUACCGGAUAGGAGCUCCUGCUGCAUGGUGGUGGUUGGAAAGUUUCGGCGGUUGGGGAUGUACUCGCGGCUUAUCAGCUUGUUGGUGGGGUAGUGGCUUACCAAGGCUUUGACGGGUAGCCGGCCUGAGAGGGGGACCGGCGACAAUGGGACUGAGAUACGGACCAGACUGCUACGGGAGGCAGCAGGGGAGAAUAUGGCAGAAUGGGCGGAAGCCUGAUGCAGAAACGCCGCGUGCGGGAUGACGGCCUUCGGGUUGUAAACCGCUUUCGCAUGUGACGAAGCGGGAGUGACGGUAAUGGGUAAAGAAGCACCGGCUAACUACGUG
rnacentral:rRNA from 1 species